ACUGAAUAGAUACCCGGGUAGUCCACGCUGUAAACGAUGAUAACUAGCUGUCGGGGGCCUUAGACUUUCGGUGGCGCAGCUAAACGCAUUAAGUUAUCCGCCUGGGGAGUACGGCCGCAAGGUUAAAACUACAAAGAAAUUGACGGGGGCCGUGCACAAGCGGUGGAGCAUGUGGUUUAAAUUCGAAGCAACGCGCAGAACCUUACCAGCGUUUGACAUCCUCAUCGCGGAUUCCAGAGAUGGUUUCCUUCAGUUCGGCUGGAUGAGUGACAGGUGCUGCAUGGCUGUCGUCAGCUCGUGUCGUGAGAUGUUGGGUUAAGUCCCGCAACGAGCGCAACCCUCGUCUUUAGUUGCCAUCAUUUA
rnacentral:rRNA from 1 species